AUGAGGUGGUGCAGGGGUGCCAAAACUAGAGCGGCUCUUUCUGAGAGGCUACAAGAACCUCCGUGCCAUACGGUGGAGGAAUGUCAAAAGAAGGUUGAAAUUUAUGUUAGAGAUGCAAGGUUCAUCCCGUCCUUGGUGCUUGGUUCUUGGGAGCUUGAUUCCAAGCUUUUGAUCACUGAUAGCCUAUACUUUAAUCUAGAUGGGUAUUCAAAGAUCAAAAAUGAACCGACAAGCCUUAAUAACGUGGGCACUGAGACCUGCAAUAGGCAGGGGGUUGCCGAUACUUACGAGGUCCCACGGCUUCUACCCCUGCACCGCCACAUCGAUAUUGGUGACGGAAUUAGCCUCAAUGAUGUGGAGUCCGAUUGGGGAGUCACAACUAUUGGUCAAUUGAUAUUCUGGGAUCAUUCCUUGUGCGUCCAUGGAAAUUCUUCCAUCCUUGCUAUUAGCCCCAAACCCGAUUCAGCGGUCUUUGGACGUGGAGACUCUUGGUUUCAUUUGAGAUGGUGCCAUAUCGACAAGUGCCCUAAGAUUCAUGUAGAUUUCGCCUCUUGCACCAACGAGUGGUCUUAUUCCUUUCCUCAUUUGGAGACCAUCUGGGCGACCGAUCUCCCAAUGGCUGGGUGCAUUUGGAGCAAAGGAAUGAUUGGGGCAUUUGAGGAAGAAUCUGUUAUUAGGGAACUGCGGAGCAUACACUUGCAGAACUGCCCAAGGCUCAAGUUUGUCCUCCCAAUCUCAUCAUUCAUAUUACCCAGCCUGGAGACCAUCCAAAUAAUCCACUGCGAAGACACUGUGAAGAAUUUUCCAAAGCUAAAGCACAUUUACCUACACCAACUCGACUGCCUGGAGCAAAUAUGCGAGGCCAAGAUGUUUGCUCCCAAGCUUGAGAAGAUCAGGAUAAGGGGUUCUUGGGGCCUUAGGCGCCUCCCGGCUGUGGGCCUCCACCAUGGAAUCAAUCUUCCCAUUGUGGACUAUGAGAAGGACUUGUGGGACAGGCUAGAGUGGGACGGUCUGGAGGCCGGGCACCACCCGUCACUCUUUGAGACACAUCACUCAUGGGCAGCAUCAACAGUUAGUAAAGAAGUACCGAGCCUUGCUCUCUCUCCCAUCUCCAAUCUGAGCAAAAUUCGAAAAGAAAUGAAAGCUAGAUGCCAAGAGAUGUGUGACAGCAUAAACGUGUUUCCAGAUGCACUGAGGUACAGAUUUAUAGAAACGAAAGAGGAUGAGAAGACCAUGGAUCAGACACAAGACAUACCAGGAGGUUGCCACAAGAUUGAGUGGUCACGUUGGUCCUUGGUGGUGGUGGCCGUCCCAAAAGACGACGGAUCUACUCGAUGCCCGUGGUUCUCGGCACUGGUUCGCAAGGGUAAGCACAUGCUACAACGGCUGCGAGGCAUGGGCGAUUGGAACGUGAAGGCGAGGAGAGGCCGAUGGAUUGUGGGGGCGCCAGUGUCAGCUGUGAGGAAGCAUGCCGGGGCACGUAAAGAGAAGUUAGUCACACCGGUGAGGAGGCCAGUCGGUUAUGUUUGUUGGGGUGUGUAUCCCCGUGAUCUAGCCAAGGAGCCGAUGUGCUUGACAGGGGAAGGCCCCACCGACGCCACGGAAGAGGUCUCCGUGGCCGCCGCCACUGUGAUGAGCAGCCGACAGUCUUGCCCUACGGGGCCCGUCGUAGAAGAUGUCGAUGGCAACGGGGACCUGGCCAACAUCACCUCCAUCAUCCUGGAUGCCCUGAUUGUUGAGCACCUUCAUGUUGGGCAUCCUCAUGGCCCCCUGAACCCGCAUCAGCUUCUCCUUGCAUCCCCGUCGCUAGACCGUAGCAAACUCGUCGAAUGA
rnacentral:rRNA from 1 species